CGAGAAGGUGACUUCGGUCACUGGACAGUGGCGCACGGGUGAGUAACGCGUGGGAACCUGCCCCGAGGUACGGAACAACGGCUGGAAACGGCCGCUAAUGCCGUAUGUGUCCUGAGGGAGAAAGAUUUAUCGCCUUGGGAGGGGCCCGCGUCCGAUUAGCUAGUUGGUGAGGUAAUGGCUCACCAAGGCGACGAUCGGUAGCUGGUCUGAGAGGAUGAUCAGCCACACUGGGACUGAGACACGGCCCAGACUCCUACGGGAGGCAGCAGUGGGGAAUAUUGGACAAUGGGGGCAACCCUGAUCCAGCAAUGCCGCGUGUGUGAUGAAGGCCUUAGGGUUGUAAAGCACUUUCACUGGUGAAGAUGAUGACGGUAGCCAGAGAAGAAGCCCCGGCUAACUCCGUGCCAGCAGCCGCGGUAAUACGGAGGGGGCAAGCGUUGUUCGGAAUUACUGGGCGUAAAGGGCGUGUAGGCGGCGGUCUUAGUCAGGCGUGAAAGCCCGGGGCUCAACCUCGGAAUAGCGCUUGAUACUGGAUUGCUUGAGACCGGAAGAGGGUAGUGGAAUUCCCAGUGUAGAGGUGAAAUUCGUAGAUAUUGGGGAAG
rnacentral:rRNA from 2 species